CUUCUCACAGCUGGCUGAGAAUUUAGCAAAGGAAAGUGACAAGAAUCGGGUAUUCGAAACUUGUUUCAGGUUCCUGUUUGCAGCAUCGGUUUUUAUCUGUGUGGGAGACUUCUCCAGCAGACUCUUCCUGCUUUCAAGCUCUUGUUUCCUCUGGUACUUUCCAGUUGGUCUGUUUCAGAGUUCCUCCACAACAGAGCCGCAGCCUUCCCAAGGCUCAGCCAUGCCCCUGGCUCUCCUCCCAGUGCUGGGGAUAAACUUUCUCCUGAGAGUUGCUCAAGCUCAGUCAGUGACUCAACCUGAUGCUCAUGUCACUGUCUCUGAAGAAGCCUCUCUGCAGCUGAGAUGCAACUAUUCCUCCCCUUGGUCACCUUACCUGUUCUGGUAUGUCCAGUACCCACAGCAGGGGCUGCAUCUGCUCCUCAAGUACUAUUCAGGAGACCCCGUGGUUCAAGGUGUGAACGGCUUUGAGACUGAGUUCAGCAAGAGUGACUCUUCCUUCCACCUGCGGAAAGCCUCUGUGCACUGGAGCGACUCGGCUGUGUACUUCUGUGCUCUGAGCGCACAGUGUCUGGGGCUGUAGGGGGAGCUGAACACAAACACCAAUGGCUGUGGGUGCUCAGACACAAGAUCUCUCCUGUGGUCUCUGAAGCAUCUCUUUCAACUUGGCGAGGAGAAAAGGGGUGUCAAGCAGUCCCAGCUGCCUUUGCACAGCUCAUUUCCAGUUAAAAUAUCCACUGUCUGACUUCGUCUAAGAAGCUCUUUGCAUAUUUUCAAAAUUAUAUAAUGCUCAAUCAUAAUUCUUUAGAAUGGAGGCUACCGUCAUUUUUCCAUGAGAACCAUUUCCUGAGUGGCCAUUGCUUGGAC